rnacentral:rRNA from 1 species
CGCACCUUGCACCCUCUGGUAUUCCGGAGGGUAUGCCCGGUUGAGUAUUAUAAUCGACUCAAGCCUCUGGUUUCUAAUCGCAAAGGUCGGAUGACCGACGAAACUGUCUAUUGGGACGGUGGUAGUUGGAGUUUGACUUGGAAUCCGGAUGGCCUUGGACUUGAGCGCAUGUCGGUUUCACUUAGAGAUCGACUCGCUUGAAAUGUAUUAGCUGGCGACCCGACUAACGGUUUCACUCGACGUAGUAAGCCUUUAUUUCGUUGAGGACAUCUUUUCUUAAGGUGACCGGUAGACACGGGUGUUGAGCCGCUUCUAAUUGUCUUAGGACAAGCGACCGAAAGUCUAAUCUCAACUCGGGUAGGAUUACCCGCUGAACUUAA